AGAGUACUUCCAUAGUGUUUUUUAAAGAAGUUGUACAGCAUAUAACACGGGCUGCUAGAAUUUUUCGACAAGAAGGUGGUCACAUGACAAUGGUUGGUCUGGAUGGAUCUGGGAAAUCAGCCUGUGCAUCCUUAGCCUGUUACUUAUCCUCAUGUUGCCUCUUCAAGUUAUCUAUUUCCCGUAAUUACAAUCAUGUAAAUUUUAGAGAUGAUCUUAAAAAAGUCUAUAAGCAGGCAGGUCUGGAAGGCAAAAGGACUGUUCUUCGCAUCAAUGACUCAGACAUAAUUCAAGAGUCAUUUUUAGAAGACUUGAGUUGCAUUCUGAACUCAGGACAAGUGCCUGAAUUAUUUCAGAAAGAGGAAUUGGAUAAUAUUAUUGUAACACUUGCACCUGUUGC